GUAUUAAAAUGCGUUUAUAGCAAGUGUUACAUUCUGAGACUGACGUAGUGUAUGAAAAAACAUAGUAAGGCUCGACGCCCGGUGGUCUAAUCGAGCCAGACUACCAAAGGUGCACAGGUGUUGAUGGAGCGAGCCGGGCGUGCACAUGCCUCCCGUAGGAGGCCAGCGACAGCCCGUUUCAAACUCGGUAAUGAUCCUUCCGCAGGUUCACCUACGGAAA
rnacentral:misc_RNA from 1 species